rfam:Xenopus laevis strain J chromosome 9_10L, whole genome shotgun sequence.
GUGCUUGUCUCUUAUGAUCUGAAUGACAUCCAGAUAAAGUACAUGGAUGAGGAUAAUGAAGAG